rnacentral:rRNA from 1 species
UCAGAACGCAGCGGUGAAUACGUUCUCAAAUUUUGCACUCACUGCCCGUCAACUCAAGGGAGCCGGUAAUACCUGAAGAUCCAUUUUACAGUGGAGACACGGUAGGAUCGGUAACAGGGAGUAAGUCGUAACAAGGCAAGGCUAGCGGAAGCUGGUCUUGGAUCACCUCCUUUCUA